rnacentral:lncRNA from 1 species
CUCAGGAUGCUUUUCUUUUCUGUCCACUAGGGGGCCGCUUGUAGGGGGAUGGAAAAAACGAAGGCUUAAAAAAAAAUAUAUAUCAUGCUGCUGAAAUUUCAGCAAGAGGGGAAAAGAGAGAGCGCGUGAGAGAGAGACAGCAAAGCAGUCCCAGGCUUCCUUGUCUCUCACGUCAGAGGCAGGAACCUACUGUGCUAGGGUUGUUGGCUCAACACGCAGAGACCGAGAAAGGCACAGACACCGAGAACAAGAGAAGAGGGGUCCCCCCGACCCAAGGAAUUACCACCAGUGGAGUAAAGCCACCUGACUUUUUAAUCUUAUUUUUGUUGCCUCCUCUUUCUCCUUCCACUCUAGCCCUGUCAGCUUGGGUUUCGUUUCUUUCCUGGAGCCUCCUCUCUUCCUCCCAGAAAAGGAGGAAGGGAAGAAAAGGGAGAGAGGUGGGUUCUCUAGGUGAGCGCAUCAGCUGCUUCCAGCCCGCACAGACAAGAAUUCUCUUCGCAGGAAGCUCCUUUCGCUCCCCUGCCGCCCACCCUCAGCCGGUGAGUUAACACUUGCCACACCAACAUCAUGGCGCUGUUGUGAGGAUCCCGUGAGAUGACAUCUUUGAAGGAGCCCCCAGCCUGGUCCCUGACCCAUGGGGGAUGUAUACUUCCGGUUUCACAGCAAGGAACUCAAACAUAUGGGGGAAAAUCACGUGAGAGCUCAUUUCUUUGCAGGGCACAGAUGUUCAAUGAGAAGGAAUCAGUUUUCUUUCCUGCUCUCAAGAGCUGUUGAUUCGUGUUUUACUCCUAAAGCUUAGGAACCCAAAGAAGAAAUCGUUAAUUAUUAAAGGUGUUAGUUAACCCAGGUUUAAAUUUUGUUAUUUCUCUCCUCAUAAUUAUAAGAGGGAAGUGUGGUUUGAGAAGGGGAGGAAGCUCAGCGGUGAGGUCAUUACCAUUCCUUCCUAACCCCAGGAGGGAGCCAGGAAGCGCUGCCAGGAGAGCCUGUCCUUCCGUGGGAGCUAAAGAGAGAAAAGAAGGAGCUGGACCUGCCACGAGGCCAAAGAGGUUCUCACCAGGGGUCCAGGGCUCUGGAGCCUGUGGCUACUGCUCUGUCUGAAAUGGGUUUUCCGUGUUGUUGACUCUCGGUAAAUGGGAAAUAAUAAUUUAUGCUGUGCUAACACUUUCUCAGCAACCCUGCACUACUCGAG